CAGAUGUUGUCGAUCAACAACUCCCAGAGCUCGGCACGGUCCCUCCGAGGGGAUGCUGGGAGUCGUAGUGCGGCAGUCCGCGAAAGACCUCUCGCUUCGCUUCCCCACCUUUCUGGAAGAAGCGCAGCCAUUUUACCCCGAGCGCCAGGCAAGGGAGCCGCCGGGAGGGGGGCUGAACUGUCGCCAGAGCCGUUUCCGGGGCCGGGAUGAAAAAGAGGCGCCGAUCGUUCCAGGCAGGCGAACCAGGGAGGGAAGGAGGGCGAGGGGACGGGCAGGAGGGCUUUACCAGCACCGACUCCUUUCGCUUGUUUCUCGCGAAAAUGAGGCAGGCGCUGACAGAGGUUGCUCGCUUUUGCAUCGUUCGAGGUUCCCACGACCCGCUAAAACGGUGUCUUCGACUCCGGUGUCUAACCAAGAGAGGUCACGCAACGGCUCUCCCAGCGAUCUGCCCAGCCUUAUCCGCGGGGCCACUUUGAGAAGCGGCAGGAAUGCAUGCAUGUUAGAUUUUGCUGCUGCUGCUGCUGCUGCUGUUUACCCAUAAAUACAAAAACAAAUGAAGAAGCGUGGAUUCAGCAGGUACCUUAUUUUAAACUUUUCGUUGAUUCCUCACGGAGGCUUGAGACGCGCGUUUGUUGUUCGGCUUUCCUGCAGCUGCUAAAGAACUUCAGGUCUAUCCUGGAAAGGUGGAGGUGUUAACACCUGUUUUCUCGGGAGACAAAUUCUUCAGUUUUCGAUUAACUACUGUAUGCUUCACAUUGGACGGUUACACAUGAAGAACAGAAAUGCUUUGCUGGUUCAGAUGAUACCUAGGUGCGUUCAUGACUAACAAGGCCUCCGAUUUUACAGAACUAUUUACAGGUUAAGGCACCAGACUAGAAAGCAGAAGGCCAUGAGUUCAAAUCCUGCCUUAGCCACGAAAGAAACAUGGAUGAUUUUGGCCGGACCUUCUCUCUCAGCCCACCCAAUUCACGACAUGGCAUUCUUGGCUGUGGAUAAAAUAGGAGGAGGGAGGCAUGUUAGAUAUGUAUGUUGGAUAUGUUUGCUGCCUUGAAUUAUUUGUAAAAAUAAUAAAGGUGGGAUACAAUUAAAUAAACAAAAUGCCAAACACAAUUAAGCUUGUUGUCACAUUGUGCUUAUCUCUGCAAAAUGCCCCCCCUCCCCUGGAAGCAAAUCAUGCAAAUAAAUAAGCAAGAGUCAGUUCAUCAGACAAUGCAAAAUAAACAAUAGUUGCAGUUAAAAGAGUCUCCAAAAUUCCUUGUUCCAUAGUUCUCCACAGGUACAUUGUGCUGCACUUGUAGUACAUCAUCUGGAGGACACCAGAUCCAGGAAGGUUAUUUCAGAUCUUUACUGUAUUAAUCUCAGUUGUCAGAUUGUAGUCAUCAACAUACAUGAUGGCAUAUAUCUGAAUGUCAUAGCUCUGUCAACAUUCGUAUGUUUGUGUAUGUUGUACUGGAGUCUUGAUAGCGGGGGAAAAUAAGGUGCGUGACAAAUAUCAAAUAAGGAGCUUUCAGGUACAAGUAUACAUAGUACAUAAUACAUAGUACUUUAGUAUGUAGUACAUAAAAGUACAUAGAAAAGAUCAGCAACACAAUUUCUCUGCCUUCGUGUUUUCUCUCACUGUGUACCCAAGUUCCACAUUCGAAAGUUACCGUCAGGGGUCUUUUGAAUCCUGCUGCAAACUUUUAAGACUCCCUCAGGUUUAAUUGGACCGUGGAGGUCGAUCGAGGAAUGACGUUCAGCGCCCAUCCUCUGCUUGUUAUUCCUCACCUUAGCAAUGUUCUCCGACGAUUUAUCCUUAUAAUUCUAUCUGCCACUUUAGCUAACUGGGCAGAGACGCCCGUUUUAAGCCCGUUGAGCCGUUCGGGAGAAGAAGAGACGAGGCGAUUCUUUGAGCAAAAUCUCCGUCUGCAACUGUGCGCUCUCAGCCGCCAGACCUCCUUGCGAGGAAACCCGCGUAGAGCUAUAGAUUGCGCAAAAAGUGGGAGGGUAUUAACCGUUUUUGCUUUCCAGGUAGAAAUCUCUUUGGCGGUGUUAAAUGGAGCUACUUCACCGCCUCCCAUCCCUUCUAGGUCUUUUCCUCCCUUUUAUUCUAAAAAACAUCCUCUUGGUGACAAGAGGGAAGUGAAGAGUAGGGGGAUUAGUUAGUGCCCCUCAGUUAAUUCCCAAGAUUGCAGGAAGUUAGACAGCCAGCUGCCAAGAACUGAUACGGGGCGCAGUCGAGAAUACAUCAGAGCCGAUUACUGCAACCAGGAAAACCCCCUCUACACAGUGUGUUCGUACUCUGCCCAGUAGAUUUCAAACCAUGGACUAGCUCCCCCACCCACAUCUGGCCGCACUGGGCUCCUUUCCUACAACGCCUUCCGACCUGGAGGUUUCUUGACACGCUGGAUUCCCGCACAGACGCUUCGGGAACCG
ensembl:lncRNA